rnacentral:rRNA from 1 species
GACGAACGCUGGCGGCGUGCUUAACACAUGCAAGUCGAACGGAAAGGCCCUGCUUGCAGGGUGCUCGAGUGGCGAACGGGUGAGUAACACGUGGGUGAUCUGCCCCUUACUUUGGGAUAAGCCUGGGAAACUGGGUCUAAUACUGGAUAGGACCAUGCUGUAGGUGGUGUGGUGGAAAGAUUAGUUUCGGUAAGGGAUGAGCUCGCGGCCUAUCAGCUUGUUGGUGGGGUAAUGGCCUACCAAGGCGUCGACGGGUAGCCGGCCUGAGAGGGUGGACGGCCAAAUUGGGACUGGGAUACGGCCCAGACUCCUACGGGAGGGAGCAGUGGGGAAUAUUGGACAAUGGGGGGAAGGCUGAUGGCGCGACGCCGCGUGGGGGAUGACGGCCUUCGGGUUGUAAACUCCUUUCAGCCAUGACGAAGCCCUUGUGGUGACGGUAGUGGUAGAAGAAGCACCGGCUAACUACGUG